rnacentral:lncRNA from 1 species
AAAACCUUCUGUUGAUGAAACUUCUGCAGCUGUUAUCAAAGUACAGACAUUAAACAUUACCUCUUUGACUCAGGUGUGCAAUUCAGCUAUAGCAUGAAUUCACUGAAAGGCUCUAUAGCACUUCAAAAUGUAUCACAAAGUGAUUUUCCUUCCACAGAGGAAAAAGGUAAGUCAUUCCUAAAACCAUUGCUAAAUUAUCUGAUGCUGGCAGUGAUUCAGAGACUACCUACAAACAAAAUUAUAAUCAUUAUGCCUCCAGUUUCCACAGGUCUGGCCAGAAAACAUUUCUCUCCCAGACUAUAUCCUAUUUCAUCUUGUUUCCUUUGUUCCUCUCACUCUCUUCUUAAAUUU